UACGUAGGUGGCAAGCGUUGUCCGGAUUUACUGGGCGUAAAGAGCGCGCAGGCGGUCGUCCAAGUCGCGUGUGAAAGCCCCCGGCUCAACUGGGGAGGGUCACGCGAUACUGGUCGACUCGAAGGCAGGAGAGGGUAGUGGAAUUCCCGGUGUAGUGGUGAAAUGCGUAGAUAUCGGAAGGAACACCAGUGGCGAAAGCGGCUUCCUGGUCCAGCACCGACGUCAGGCACGAAAGCGUGGGGAGCAAACAGG
rnacentral:rRNA from 1 species